GAUGAAGAACGCAGCGAAAUGCGAUAAGUAGUGUGAAUUGCAGAAUUCAGUGAAUCAUCGAAUCUUUGAACGCACAUUGCGCCCUUUGGUAUUCCUUAGGGCAUGCCUGUUCGAGCGUCAUUUAAACCUUCAAGCUCAGCUUGGUGUUGGGUGACUGUCCGCUUCACCGCGGACUCGCCUCAAAAUUAUUGGCGGCCGGUACAUUGGCUUCGAGCGCAGCAGAAACGCGAACUCGGGCCCGUCGUAUUGGCUCCCAGAAACUAUCUUCACAAUUUUGACCUCGGAUCAGGUAGGGAUACCCGCUGAACUUAAGCAUAUCAAUAAGCGGAGGA
rnacentral:misc_RNA from 1 species